UAAUUUCAGAAGGAAAAACCAAGUCAGAAACCAGAAUAAACAGAACCAUAAGAUCAAUAGAAAGUUCUGAUAACCGUGACUAACAUGCUACACAACUACAUAAGGCAGUUAUUCAGAUGAGGUAAAUGUAAUCUAUUAAAGAUGAACCAAAAACCAGCCAUUCAUGCAUGUCCAUCAAAUUAGAAAGAGAAUCAGCUUACAGAGAGGAACUUCUUCAGAUCUCUUCCUGAUGCGAUAUCUCGAAGGACAGCAAAACCCCAAUUGAUCUCACUCCUGAGUGCAUCAGCUACCUGAAGAACAGGCUCCUCAGGGAUAUAAACUUCUGGAAUACGUGGUGGGCUCCUAAAGUCAAAUAAAACGGUUUAGAUUAUACCUCAAAUCCAGAUACUUGAGAGCAUUAGCAGUACAAAGUACCAAAAACCCACUUGUUGAUAAAGGUGGAGGCAUUUGACCACAAGAACAGUACAGCGAGAGAAAGGAUCAAUCCAUGGCAUAUCAGAGUGAGAAGAUGAUAUUCAAUCAAUUCGAACAGAACCCAUAUAGCAGUUGCACCACCAAGCA
rnacentral:lncRNA from 1 species